GUGCCAGCCGCCGCGGUAAUACGUAGGGUACAAGCGUUGUCCGGAAUUAUUGGGCGUAAAGAGCUCGUAGGUGGUUUGUCGCGUCUGCUGUGGAAUCGUGCCGCUUAACGGUGCGCGUGCAGUGGGUACGGGCAGACUGGAGUGCAGUAGGGGAGUCUGGAAUUCCUGGUGUAGCGGUGAAAUGCGCAGAUAUCAGGAGGAACACCGGUGGCGAAGGCGGGACUCUGGGCUGUUACUGACGCUGAGGAGCGAAAGCAUGGGGAGCGAACAGGAUUAGAU
rnacentral:rRNA from 1 species